AUCAAGCUCUACAAUUCUCCAAUUGUCUUCUUUUUACUAUUCUUCUCUUCUUAUUCAAUAUCAGCAACUUGAAGUACGAAGCCAAACUCCUUGUCCCUUCUAUUUUUCAUUCAAUGGCAUUCUUGACAAAGAAUUCUUUGCAUUGAUGCUCAAUCUCCUUUUCAUACAAAUCUGGGAUGAAAAUUUUCAUGUUGAGACGGCAAUUCCAGCUUGUUCAGCUCUUUUUCUAGUUCAUCAUCUUGUUGCACAGGCUCUUAUGAUUGCUACCUCUUUUGUUGAUGAUGAGGCUCAUCUAAUUGUAUCACAUCCAUUCCAUGAUGUCCAGAAAUCCAUGCACGUAAUUCUUAGAUCUGCUCUUGGUUUUUGAGACAUUGUAUCAGAUUUUUAUAGUCAUAAUUCUGAAGAGUUGAUUUCUUGUCCAA
rnacentral:misc_RNA from 1 species